AGGAGUGUAGCUCAAUUGGUAGAGCACUGGUCUCUAAAAACAGAGGUUGUAGGUUCGAUACCUAUCGCUCCUG
rnacentral:tRNA from 2 species